GAUGAACGCUGGCGGCGUGCCUAACACAUGCAAGUCGAACGGAAAGGCCCUGCUUUUGUGGGGUGCCCGAUUGGCGAACGGGUGAGUAACACGUGAGUAACCUGCUCUUCACUUUGGGAUAACUUCAGGUAACUGGGGCUAAUACCGGAUAGGAGCUGCUGCUGCCUGGUGGGGGUUGGAAAGUUUCGGCGGUUGGGGAUGGACUCGCGGCUUAUCAGCUUGUUGGUGGGGUAGGGGCUGACCAAGGCUUUGACGGGUCGCCGGCCUUGGAGGGUGACCGGCCACAUUGGGACUGAGAUACGGCCCAGACUCCUACGGGAGGCAGCAGGGGGGAAUAUGGCACAAUGAGCGGAAGCCUGAUGCAGCAACGCCGCGUGCGGGAUGACGGCCUUCGGGUUGUAAACCGCUGUCGCCUGUGACGAAGCGUGAGUGACGGUAAUGGGUAAAGAAGCACCGGCUAACUACGUG
rnacentral:rRNA from 1 species